CCACCAGCGCCGAUGGUACUGCGACAAGCGGGAGAGUAGGUCGCCGCCAGUUUUUAUUUUAAACCUCAUACAGCAAUGUAUGAGGUUUUUUUGUGUCUUUAUUUUUUCUUUACUUUUUCUUUUUCUUUACUUUUUCUUUUCUUAUGAAUAAAAAUAUGGAUGGGUAUAAGUAUGAAAUCGAAUUAAAAGAUUUUUGUAAUAUCUGAAUAGGUGCUAUAAUAUUAUUAUCCCUUUUCUCUAUUUAAUUUUUAGUAUAUAAUAAUAAUGAUAGGAUAGUAUCCUUAUAUAAUAUGUUUUAUAUUAUGUAAUAUGGGCUAAGGAUAUAAGUAUAAUCAUGCAUAAAGAAAAAACAAAAUAAGAAAGCCUCACAAAAUGUGAGGCUUUCUUAUUGAUAGUUUAUAAUAAUCCUGAGAUCAUCUGGAAAUAAUGACCUUAUACUUAUAGAAAGAGUAUGACAAUACUUUUACUAUAUCAGUACACAGGUCACCAGGAUGAAUUCUAAAUGUAUUAUGGAUGUUUUAGGGAUUGUAUUCUACGAUAUUCUCUUAACUAAUAUGUGUUUAUAAAAUAAGUAGGCCUUAAAUACUCACUCUCUAUUCUUGUUGACAGGUACGAAAUUGUAGAUUAUAAAAGCAGAUCAAUAUCAAGCUUUCUGUCUUAAUCCCCGCUUAAUAUCCGAUUUUAUUCUUAAACCCUUAACACAACACAAUCCGUUUUUAUUUAUUACUGUAUUAUAUUAACAAACAAUAGUCGGUAACUGAUGAGCUCUAGCUCCGUAGAGAAAAGGAGAAUCUGAAUUGGCGUGUAAUUAAACUAUAGAAAAUCUUUGUUUAAUUUUUUCUCCUUUCGUGGUAGCAGUAUAACCUGUACAGAAAAAUAGGCAUAUAGUAUACAUUACAAUAAAAAUUUUUCUAAUUCUUUACCACAAAAAGUGAUCAUUAAGAACUAUUUUCUAAGCUGUAUCUUAAAAAUUGAAGUCAUAUUCUUUACAAAAAAUCCAGAAUUCUUGGCCAUACUUUGCUCUUCUUUUGUAACAACUGCAACAAUUAACUCUAAUUUUUAAUCCUUCAAUUAAAUCACUCAGUCAAUCAUGUAAAAUUAUUCUCCCACACUGUCAGUAAGUUACCAAUAAAUAUUACGAAAAAGUAAAAUUUAUGUUAAGUAAAUUUGUUUUGUGUUUGGAUAAGGUGUUAUCUUUGCCCCACUGAAAACGGAAGGAAGUAGGUAGCGUAGAAGGGUAA
rnacentral:rRNA from 1 species